rnacentral:lncRNA from 1 species
UGGGGGGAUAAGCCAUUGGUGGUGGAGGACAAGGUUCUGGAACCUUUGGUGGUGGUGGUGGUGGUGGUUCUUUUGGUUUCUCAGGUUCCUUAGGCUUUUCGGGUUCUUUCGGCUUUUCGGGUUGUUUCGGUUUCUCGGGUUCUUUGGGUUUUUCGGGUUCUUUCGGCUUUUCGGGUUGUUUAGGUUUCUCGGGUUCUUUGGGUUUUUCGGGUUCUUUUGGUUUUUCUGGUGCUUUAGGCUUUUCGGGUUCUUUUGGUUUUUCUGGUACUUUAGGCUUCUCAGGUUCUUUGGGUUUUUCAGGUUCUUUGGGCUUUUCGGGUUCUUUAGGCUUCUCAGGCUCCUUGGGUUUGGGAGGAGGAGGUGGAGGUUUGAUCUCAAUGCUCUUGAUUGAUCCAGCACCCUUGCAACAUAUCUUGUCCCUCAGCUUCUCAG